rnacentral:rRNA from 1 species
GAUGAACGCUGGCGGCGUGCCUAAUACAUGCAAGUCGAGCGAACAGAUAAGGAGCUUGCUCCUUUGACGUUAGCGGCGGACGGGUGAGUAACACGUGGGUAACCUACCUAUAAGACUGGAAUAACUCCGGGAAACCGGGGCUAAUGCCGGAUAACAUUUAGAACCGCAUGGUUCUAAAGUGAAAGAUGGUUUUGCUAUCACUUAUAGAUGGACCCGCGCCGUAUUAGUUAGUUGGUAAGGUAACGGCUUACCAAGGCAACGAUACGUAGCCGACCUGAGAGGGUGAUCGGCCACACUGGAACUGAGACACGGUCCAGACUCCUACGGGAGGCAGCAGUAGGGAAUCUUCCGCAAUGGGCGAAAGCCUGACGGAGCAACGCCGCGUGAGUGAUGAAGGUCUUCGGAUCGUAAAACUCUGUUAUUAGGGAAGAACAAAUGUGUAAGUAACUGUGCACGUCUUGACGGUACCUAAUCAGAAAGCCACGGCUAACUACGUG